AAUAUUUAUUUUAGUUUCUUAAGUUAUUUAUUUUGUUUAUUUAAGUAGAUUAAUUGGUUAAUUUACACUUUUUUCUUAGUUAUAAUUAUGAUUAAUAUACAAAAAUACCAAAAAUGUUUUUCUUUUUAUUUAAAUUAACAAAAUACAAAAGCACGUUUUAUUAUUAUUAGGUUAUUUAAAUGAUUAAGAAAAACACAAAAUAGGGAUUUAUGUUCAUUUAAUAAAAAAAUAAAAAAUAAUGUAUCUCUUUUUUUUAAAAAAAAUUCGGAUGAAAAGACUUCUUGGGUGUAUCUCUUUGUAAGUCCCCGAGCAUUCGAAUACAAGUAGUAUCGAUUGGGCAGUCGAAUAUUCGUCUUUCACCAUAAAAUCAACCUCAAACACAAUAAGUUAAUC
rnacentral:lncRNA from 1 species